rnacentral:rRNA from 1 species
UGCAAGCGUUAAUCGGAAUCACUGGGCGUAAAGGGUGCGUAGGCGGUACGUUAGGUCUGUCGUGAAAUCCCCGGGCUCAACCUGGGAAUGGCGGUGGAAACCGGUGUACUAGAGUAUGGGAGAGGGUGGUGGAAUUCCAGGUGUAGCGGUGAAAUGCGUAGAGAUCUGGAGGAACAUCAGUGGCGAAGGCGGCCACCUGGCCCAAUACUGACGCUGAGGCACGAAAGCGUGGGGAGCAAACAGGAUUAGAUACCCUGGUAGUCCACGCCCUAAACGAUGAAUACUAGAUGUUUGGUGCCUAGCGUACUGAGUGUCGUAGCUAACGCGAUAAUAUUCCGCCUGGAAUAC